GGUUGGUCUUUUUGUUGUAUUUUUAUUAUAUUUUAGUAUUGCAUACUAAUGGAAUAAAUUUUAAUUUAUUUAUUAAAUAUAGAAAUUACUAGUUUAAGCUAAGUUGAGUUUUCACUUUAUAAGUGAAAAAAUAAUUUGGUUGGUGUUGAUAAGGCGUUAGUUGUGAUAUCUGUUUUUUUGUUAGUAUUUGGAGAGCUAAUAGUUUUUUUAUAGAUAUUUGUUGAAUAGGAUUAAAAUUGUCUAUUUUUGGUUUUUAAUAAAAUUUAAAGUUUUGGUGUUAUUUUUUUUUUUAUUGUAUUAUUUUUUUUUAGGUAUUUAUAAUGUUUCUUUUUUAUUAGGUUUUUAUUUUGUUGUAAUUGUUUUGGAAUUUGUUUGGAGAAAUUGUAAGAUGGUCAAAUGUUUUUUAAAGACUUAUGUUUUUUAUUAAAAUUGGCUUCUGCUCUAUGAAUUUUGUUUUAAAUGGCGGCCUUAGCGUGAGGGUGUAAAAGUAGCAAAAUAGAUUGUGUUUUUAAUGGAUUCUGGUAUGAAUGGAGUAAUUGGCUGUGGUUGUUCUUGAUUUUUUUUCUGAAUUAUAUAAUUUUUUAAAAAUAAAAUGUUUUUAUUAAUUCAAGAUAAGUCUUCGGAAGUUUUUUUUUGUGUUUUUUUGGGGUAAAGUUUGUUGGUAUUUUUUUAAUCUAGUUUUUAAUGAUAAAAACUACUCCGGAGUUAACAGAAUGUUAUUUUUUAUAUAGUUCUUAUAUUAGGAAAAAUAUUACAUCGAUGUUGUAUUUAUAUUGGUUUUUAUGUAGAAGGAAUUUUUUUUGAGACUGUUCUUCUUUUAUUUAAUAUAACGUGAUAUUAGUUUAAUUCAUUGCGAAAUAGAAUUGUUUAUCUGGUUAAUAAAGUAUUUUUUUUGUGUUAUUAGUACGAAAGGAAUGUAAC
rnacentral:rRNA from 1 species